rnacentral:rRNA from 1 species
UACGGGGGGCGCGAGCGUUGUUCGGAAUCAUUGGGCGUAAAGAGCGUGUAGGCGGCUGGAUAAGUCAGAUGUGAAAGCCCUGGGCUUAACCCAGGAAGUGCAUUUGAAACUGUUCAGCUGGAGUAAGGGAGAGGAAAGUGGAAUUCCUGGUGUAGAGGUGAAAUUCGUAGAUAUCAGGAGGAACACCGAUGGCGAAGGCGACUUUCUGGCCCUAUACUGAUGCUGAGACGCGAAAGCGUGGGUAGCAAACAGG